AGAGUUUGAUCCUGGCUCAGAACAAACGCUGGCGGCGUGCCUAACACAUGCAAGUCGUACGAGAAAGUCCGCUUCGGUGGAUGAGUAAAGUGGCGCACGGGUGAGUAACGCGUGGAUAAUCUACCCUUUAGUCUGGAAUAACUUAUCGAAAGGUGAACUAAUACCGGAUAAUAUCCCGAUUUCUUCGGCGAUCGGGAUCAAAGAAGGCCUCUGCUUGCAAGCUUCCACUGAAGGAUGAGUCCGCGUACCAUUAGCUAGUUGGCAGGGUAAUGGCCUACCAAGGUUAUGAUGGUUAGCUGGUCUGAGAGGAUGAUCAGCCACACUGGAACUGAAACACGGUCCAGACUCCUACGGGAGGCAGCAGUGAGGAAUAUUGCGCAAUGGGGGCAACCCUGACGCAGCAACGCCGCGUGAGUGAGGAAGGUUUUCGGAUUGUAAAGCUCUGUCGAGCGGAAAGAAGUGCAUGGUGGUUAAUAUCCAUCAUGCUUGACGGUACCGCUAAAGGAAGCACCGGCUAACUCCGUGCCAGCAGCCGCGGUAAUACGGGGGGUGCAAGCGUUGUUCGGAAUCAUUGGGCGUAAAGCGCGUGUAGGCGGCUGGACAAGUCAGAUGUGAAAGCCCUGGGCUUAACCCAGGAAGUGCAUUUGAAACUGUUCAGCUAGAGUAAGGGAGAGGAAAGUGGAAUUCCUGGUGUAGAGGUGAAAUUCGUAGAUAUCAGGAGGAACACCGGUGGCGAAGGCGACUUUCUGGCCCUAUACUGACGCUGAGACGCG
rnacentral:rRNA from 1 species